CACGAACGCUGGCGGCAGGCUUAACACAUGCAAGUCGAGCGCCCCGCAAGGGGAGCGGCAGAUGGGUGAGUAACGCGUGGGAAUCUACCCAUCUCUACGGAAUAACGCAUGGAAACGUGUGCUAAUACCGUAUACGUCCUUCGGGAGAAAGAUUUAUCGGAGAUGGAUGAGCCCGCGUUGGAUUAGCUAGUUGGUGGGGUAAAGGCCUACCAAGGCGACGAUCCAUAGCUGGUCUGAGAGGAUGAUCAGCCACACUGGGACUGAGACACGGCCCAGACUCCUACGGGAGGCAGCAGUGGGGAAUAAUGGACAAUGGGCGCAAGCCUGAUCCAGCCAUGCCGCGUGAGUGAUGAAGGCCCUAGGGUUGUAAAGCUCUUUCACCGGUGAAGAUAAUGACGGUAACCGGAGAAGAAGCCCCGGCUAACUUCGUGCCAGCCGCCGCCGUAACAC
rnacentral:rRNA from 1 species